rnacentral:rRNA from 1 species
GAUGAACGCUGGCGGCGUGCCUAAUACAUGCAAGUCGAGCGAACAGAUGAGGAGCUUGCUCCUCUGACGUUAGCGGCGGACGGGUGAGUAACACGUGGAUAACCUACCUAUAAGACUGGGAUAACUUCGGGAAACCGGAGCUAAUACCGGAUAAUAUAUUGAACCGCAUGGUUCAAUAGUGAAAGACGGUUUUGCUGUCACUUAUAGAUGGAUCCGCGCCGCAUUAGCUAGUUGGUAAGGUAACGGCUUACCAAGGCAACGAUGCGUAGCCGACCUGAGAGGGUGAUCGGCCACACUAGAACUGAGACACGGUCCAGACUCCUGAGGGAGGCAGCAGUAGGGAAUCUUCCGCAAUAGGCGAAAGCCUGACGGAGCAACGCCGCGUGAGUGAUGACGGUCUUCGGAUCGUAAAACUCUGUUAUUAGGGAAGAACAAAUGUGUAAGUAACUAUGCACGUCUUGACGGUACCUAAUCAGAAAGCCACGGCUAACUACGUG